AUACAUAUCAUAUGAAAUAUUACCAUCCCCAUUUCACAGAAGAGGAUCCUGUAGUUUAGAGAGCUUAGGUAACUUAAAGCUACAUAGGUAGUCAUGUGAAAUGGUAGAAAUCAAAUCUAGGUCUAAUCUGACUUCUAAAUUCUGUCUUUUUUCCCCCACACUACAUUGCCUUCCAGGACAAUAUAGCAGGAGAGGUGGAUAACAAGAAAAUACAAUGCAAUGUGAUGAGUGCUAUAACCAAGAUAAGUCUUACUGGAAUUAACUCUCCCUGAAGGAGCUUUGGAAGUCUCAAGAAAGAGGUGACAUUUGAGUUAGGUUUUAUUAAUGAUUAGGGACUCACCAGGUGAAGCCCAGAAAAGGCAUGCUUGGAAGCCUGUGAAAUGGACUUGAGAUUGUACAGAGUAUGACAAGGAGUUAGGGUAGGCUGGAAUACAGAAUUGGUAGGGUUGUUCAAUUUCCAGAGAUAAAGGUGAACAGUGCAUUUUGAGUCUAGAUUGAGUAAUGCUGUAUACGUCAAACAAAGGAGUUUAUAUUUAAUUUUACAGGCAAUGGGGAGUCACUGGAAUGCUUGAACAACGUUACUUUAAGAUGAUUUUGACAAUGCGUGGAGACUAGAUCAAAGGAAAGAGAUGCCAGAGGUGGAAGAAGAGGUAGAUAGCACUGCUAUUUGAAAAGGCACCGUAAAGGGGCCAGGCGCCAUGGCUCACGCCUGUAAUCCCAACACUUUGGGAGGCCAAGGCAGGUGGAUCACUUGAGCCUACGAGUUUGAGACCAGCCCGGUCAACAUGGUGAAACCCCGUCUCUACUAAACUUACAAAAAAUUAGCCAGGCAUGGUGGCAUGCGACUGUAAUCCCAGCUGCUCAGGAGGCUGAGGCAGGAGAAUCACUUGAACCCAGGAGACGGAAGUUGCAGUGAGCCAAGAUCACGCCACUGUACUCCAGCCUGGGCAGAAGACCAAAACUCACUCUAAAAGAAGGUGGUGGGGGUGGUGCACUGUAAGGGACCUCCCACUUCUUAGGCACAGGGAAAAAAAAAAAAAGCAAAAAGCUUCCUGUGGGUGAACUUAAAAGCAGCAGGAUGGGAAGAAAAAAUAUUGCAAAUUAUAUCACCUUUAGGAAAACAGUUCUCAUCCUUGACCUAGAGUUAGUUUGAACUGCCUGCAAAUAUCCGUGCAUGUGCUUGGGGCAGGUGUGCGCGUGUCUGCAUCCAGAUAUGGCUCUGCGUCAAUGAGUUGUCCUCAGGUGGCUGGCAGGCCGCAGGAAGAGCACGCCCCAACUUCGUCUCGCACUAGUAAGGACCUCAAAGCAGAGUCAGUGAGCCAAGACCUUUUCCCCAUCACACAACCACAUUUGGACAAUGAACUGUUAAAAAACAUUUUGUCCAUGGCUGGCCUGUGUCAGAGGAGCUCGCAAGGACAGAUGCUUGGACAAAACCAACUUAUAUGAGCAAAGAAGGGUGGUUUCCUUCAAGGUGGUAGAGAUUUAUACUGUGAAGGAUAGAAGAAAAGGCUUUCUCUAGGAGACAGAAAAAAUAAGGCAACAUCUGGGGUGCACCCAUGAGGGGGUCUCUGUGAAAAUAUUAACCUUUCUCUUUUUCCUGUGGAUAGAAGUGCAAUAUUUAAACUCCAGCUUCAAUAUUACAGUCUUGUUAUCCUAAGUGUUUAGUAAAACCUAUUACAUUUUAGCUUUAUGUUGGUGGUGUUGUGGGAAAUACAAGGACAGGACAAUAAAGAGAAGAGUGUCUUACCCAUUGGGGCCAUUAGGCCCAGCAAGGUAUUCGGGAAGAAAAGUGAUCCAAGAGGUCCUACAGGAGAAGCAAAAGGCUGACCACAUGGAAGCAUCUGGGAAACGCUCCCUGGAGUUGUGGACAACUGAGCUGUGUUUUGAAGGAUGAAUAAGAGUUAACCAGAAGAAGAAUAAGGUAGGGCAGAUGGUUUCUGUCAUCCCAGGCAACCGACAGGUAUUUAUAGACUGAUCAUUUCUCCUUCAUCAUCAGUCACAGGCCCCUCUCAGUGACUCUAGAACAGAUAUGCCCUGACGUCGAUCCGAUGCAUUUACCACCUGGCGCCAUGUGGGAACUGAAUUCUCUCAGUUAUUCUCUGUUUGAGUAACUGUGCCAAAACAUUACUGAAAACAUUACUGGACCCUUGUUUGCAUUCAUUCAUAACUCUGCCUCACAUGAGGGCACUGAAAUUUGGGAGCAAGCAACUCAGAAUAUCCUUUCAUUAAUUGUUUUAGAUCAUCAGAAAUUAAACAAUAUCUUGUUUAAUCUCAUUUUAUU
rnacentral:lncRNA from 10 species